rnacentral:rRNA from 1 species
UCGGAACGUGCCCUAGAGUGGGGGAUAACGUAGCGAAAGUUACGCUAAUACCGCAUACGAUCUACGGAGGAAAGCGGGGGACCGUAAGGCCUCGCGCGAUUAGAGCGGCCGAUAUCUGAUUAGCUUGUUGGUGGGGUAAAAGCCCACCAAGGCGACGAUCAGUAGCUGGUCUGAGAGGACGAUCAGCCACACUGGGACUGAGACACGGCCCAGACUCCUACGGGAGGCAGCAGUGGGGAAUUUUGGACAAUGGGGGCAACCCUGAUCCAGCAAUGCCGCGUGAGUGAAGAAGGCCUUCGGGUUGUAAAGCUCUUUUGUCAGGGAAGAAACAGCAGCUCUAACACAGUCUGCGAAUGACGGUACCUGAAGAAUAAGCACCGGCUAACUACGUGCCAGCAGCCGCGGUAAUACGUAGGGUGCAAGCGUUAAUCGGAAUUACUGGGCGUAAAGCGUGCGCAGGCGGUUAUACAAGACAGGCGUGAAAUCCCCGGGCUUAACCUGGGAAUGGCGUCUGUGACUGUAUGACUAGAGUGUGUCAGAGGGUGGUAGAAUUCCACGUGUAGCAGUGAAAUGCGUAGAUAUGUGGAGGAAUACCAAUGGCGAAGGCAGCCCCCUGGGAUAACACUGACGCUCAUGCACGAAAGCGUGGGGAGCAAACAGGAUUAGAUACCCUGGUAGUCCACGCCCUAAACGAUGCCGACUAGUUGUUGGGAAUUUACAUUCUCAGUGACGUAGCUAACGCGUGAAGUCGGCCGCCUGGGGAGUACGGUCGCAAGAUUAAAACUCAAAGGAAUUGACGGGGACCCGCACAAGCGGUGGAUGAUGUGGAUUAAUUCGAUGCAACGCGAAAAACCUUACCUACCCUUGACAUGUCACUAAC